rnacentral:rRNA from 1 species
GAUAAACGCUAGCGGCAGGCUUAACACAUGCAAGUCGAGGGGCAGCAUAGAUUGUAGCAAUACAAUUGGUGGCGACCGGCGCACGGGUGCGUAACGCGUAUGCAACCUACCCGUCACAGGGGGAUAAUCCGGAGAAAUCUGGUCUAAUACCCCAUAACAUAUGGAUCGGCAUCGGUUCAUGUUGAAAUUUUCGGAGGUGACGGAUGGGCAUGCGUAGCAUUAGCUUGUUGGUGAGGUAACGGCUCACCAAGGCGACGAUGCUUAGGGGGACUGAGAGGUUUUCCCACCACACUGGUACUGAGACACGGACCAGACUCCUACGGGAGGCAGCAGUGAGGAAUAUUGGUCAAUGGGCGCAAGCCUGAACCAGCCAUGCCGCGUGCAGGAUGACGGCUCUAUGAGUUGUAAACUGCUUUUGUACGAGGGUAAAGUGGGUUACGUGUAACCUUUUGGAAGUAUAGUACGAAUAAGGAUCGGCUAACUCCGUGCCAGCCGCCGCGGUAA